rnacentral:lncRNA from 1 species
AACCACAAACAUACACCAUAAUCACCAAACACAAUAACCACACACCUUCGAUAAUCAUAAACACUCGCUAAUUCUCACCACGUUUUUUUCCGUCCCAACGACUCGAACCACUCCAACGACCCACGAGUAGUUCCAGCGCACCGCCGCUACCUCCCACCUCCGCUAGCCCGGCCACUCCCGGCCCCCUCAGGGCCUCCGCCCCGUCAGCCGCCCGCGGCCGGUCCAAACCGGACGGUCGGAGCCCCGCCCUCACCUCCCAAGGCGGGCACCCGCAGCUCCACAGACCCAGGACAGCCGGAGGCGCAGCCAGCGCGUGGUUUCUAAGAGACCGAGAGAAGCCCACGCGCAAGCAGGUCAGGGACAGGCUCAGGUGAGCCGAAGGAGCUCUCCGUGACCGCUACGUUCCAAGCAAAACUCCUCCCAGAAGGCCACGCGGUCCAACUCAACUUCCGUCCAGGACGCUGCCCGCGUUUCCAGUGCCCAGGAGGGAUUAGCCAGGUCCUCUGGGAAGGGGCAGUGCAGCGCGCCACGCUGUGGCGAAGUACCAGCGGUGAAACUGCUCUGGAUUGGGGGAGUUGCCCGCGCAGUCAUUUCGGAUGGGCCCACGCUGGGCCCUGAGAGGAAUCGACGUGGACACCUGCUCUGGACUACAUUUCCCAGAAGGCCUGGUGGCCUCUCGCUCUUCCGGCGAACUCGAGUCCAGCCUGGCGGGACCGUUAGAUCCGGCGGGACAAGCGCCUCAGGAAUGGUUUGAGUUGGAAUGGAAUGGAAGAAUUGAAAAUGGGAAGCUCCAAUGGGCUGUGGCUGAAGCUUCAUCUUCUCCAUCUUCCUCUGGUCCUUCCUGUAGUGACAUCUCUUCCUUGACCACCAAGGGACUGGAUCUGAUUCCUGGGACAUCCACAGGAUAACCAUGUCCCAUAUCUUUUCUUGUGAGCAGCACUUUCCAAUUCUAAGCCAGCUGUGAUCUCCUUAUUGGAACAAGGAAAAGAGUCCUGGAUGAUUGACAGAAAGCUGACCAGAGGUGAGAUGAUAAGACAGGAACAGGGCCACAAAGAGACAUUCCCUCUAGAGAUUUUAUCAGGAAGCUCCCCUCAGAGGGCAAAACCUCCCCUCUGCUAUGUGAGCUCUCAUGCUUUUUUUCUCUUAUACUUUCUCCCCUAUCCAUGAGAGUAAAUACCUUUC